GAUAUUUGUUGAAUCUUUACUCGACUCCAACCUCCACUAAUGGUCCGAAUGGAAUUGUGGGGCCUCGUUGGGACCUUGGUAGCUUUACAAUUGAAUUUCUUUUCUAAAAGCUUUCAAACUAUCAUGAACAUCUCACUUUCUCUCCCUAGAACGUCCAACUAGUGAGAAAGUGUAAUAAGGAAAGGUUUUUGAGGGUUUUAUGGUGAAAAAAUAGAAGAGCACAAAGAACUCUGUGAAAGGGUACACAAAAACAUGAAAAAUCGGGGUUAAUUCAAGGAAAUAUAUGGAAAUUCAAGGCAAGCUUCCAUGGGGGGG
rnacentral:lncRNA from 1 species